rnacentral:rRNA from 2 species
GGACUACAAGGGUAUCUAAUCCUGUUUGCUCCCCACGCUUUCGUGCAUGAGCGUCAGUAUUGGCCCAGGGGGCUGCCUUCGCCAUCGGUAUUCCUCCACAUCUCUACGCAUUUCACUGCUACACGUGGAAUUCUACCCCCCUCUGCCAUACUCUAGCUUGCCAGUCACAAAUGCAGUUCCCAGGUUAAGCCCGGGGAUUUCACAUCUGUCUUAACAAACCGCCUGCGCACGCUUUACGCCCAGUAAUUCCGAUUAACGCUCGCACCCUACGUAUUACCGCGGCUGCUGGCAC